GAUGACAUAGAAUGAAGGCUAUCACCAGGGGCUCACACUUCAGUUAUGAACUUUCCAUACACAGAAUCAUGGUUAAUAAAUUUGUGUUCAUUAUAAAUUUCCCAGUUUGUAUAGUUUGUUAUAGGAUCACAAAAUGGACAGAUGCCCUUCAAGCCGAUGCAAGAUGCAAGGAUGCAAAGAGCAGAGCAAAGACUAACCUGUUUUGAAGACGUUCACCAAAGGUCACAUGAUCAUCUCACCAGAUGCAGAAAGCACAGUUAGCAGCAAAAUUCAACAGCUCUCCAUGAUAAAAAGCCCUGUGGAAACUGGGUGCAGAAGACUAAUACCCUAGCACAGCGAGGCUGUCUACAGCAGACCUGUGACUGACCUCACAAUGGAUGUUAGAAGCUGAAGUGCUGAGCUUCACCUGUGAUGACUUCAGAGAGAGAAACUCACCAAAGAACUUCUUGUGAGAUUCUUGUGGCUUCCUGCUGAUUCCUCAGACUUGGCCACCAGGAUUGAACUGCCCUUGCUGAUUCGUGUGUGGUGUCUGCUGAGUGGGCUGGACUGCAGUUGCUGAUUCAUGUUUGGUGUUUGCUAGUGGACUGGUCUAAAAAUAACAAAGAUUGGAAUCACAUCAAAGCACUACUUCUAAACAGGUCCACUUCCCCCAUAUCCUAAUAAUCUUUCUUUUCCACUUCCUCUGGUGGUAUAGAGGGGAAGUUGAACCCUUAUUGAAGUAGGUUGUAAAAUAUGUAUAUGCCUACACUUAUAACACAAACGAGCAAUUCACUCAAAUCAUACAAACUGUAGACUGUGAAAAGUAAAAUACACUAGAAUUAUACAUUUGUCACUAUUUUACACUUACAUGUAGGAUGGGUGCAGAAGUUCUCUCUAACAGGCACAGGUCAAUAGACUAGGCAAGGGGAUGGAGAAAUAAACCCAGGCAGCUACAGCCAUCUGCCUCUUCAUAUAAGUUCCAAAACCACUGGAGAACAGGCAGCCUCUUUUUCAAAUGGUUCUUGAAUAGCUGGGUGUUGACCUGUAAAAGAAUAAACCUAACCCGCUGGCUCUCAUCCUAUACAGAAAUAAAUUCAGAAAAUGGAGAAGGGCCGACCUUUAAAAUACAGGUUUGCAACUCUGAAGCUGCUAGGGGAGAAUGUAAGUGAAGCAUGUGGAGAUAUGGGCAUGAGUGGUGACUUCCUCAGUAUGACUUGGAUAGCCCAGGUGAUGAUGGCAAGAAUUGACAAGUGGGAUUAAAAGAACAAAAGAAGUUUCUGCCUCUACGGGAGACAUUCAAUAGACUCAAGAGACAACCUACAGGUAAGAAAAAAAUUUCCCAGCAACAAUCAAAGGAUUCAUAUCCAGAAUUUCUGAAGAACUCAGAGACUAAAUACCAAGGAAACAAGGAAUUCUGUGACCAGAUCAACAACUGUACUGAAACAUUCUCAAAAAAAAAAAAUGCUACGAAGAGUCAACUAAUGAACGAAGAAUGUCCAACACAUUUAGUCAUGAUGGAAAUAGAAAUACAAACAGAAAUUACACUGAGAUUCCACAAGAUUCCAUCUCAUCCUGGACAGAAUGGUUGUCAUCAAGAUAAAAACAAACAAACAAACAACAACAAUAACAAAAAUCAGCAAAUUCUAGUGACAAAGGAAAAAGAGAGGAAGGAACUCACACAUCAUGUGUGGGAAUGUUAAUUAAUGAAGUCACUGUGGGAAUGAGUAUGGAGGUUGUUCAUGAAACAAAAAUUAAAGCUACCACAUGUUCUUGUUGUACCCCUGCUAAGUAUAUAACCUAAGGAGUCAAACUCAGUGUACACUACAGGUGGCUGCCGGCCAGUGUUGAUCAUGGCACUGUCAAUCAUAGCCAAGGUAUGCAAUCACCUGGUGCUUCUGUUAUCAGAUGAAUGGGCAAGGAAAACAUAUUAUGUACAUAAUAUGGUUUAGCCAUAAAGAAGAAUGAGAUUGUGGUAUUUGCAGGACAACAGAUGAAACUGGGAAUCAUGUUAAAUGAAAUUAAUCAGACUCAGAAAGACUACUACCGAAUGUUUUGAUUUCAGGUGUAAUUUGGGGGAGGGGAGGCACGAAAAUAGAAAGGUGAGUGUUACAGAAAACCAGGGUAAGAUGAAGGAAGGGACAAAAUGGGGUAAAUAGGAUAAUGGGCAUCAGGGUUCCUUACCGCACAAACACUCUACAAUGAAACAGGCUACUUUAAAACAAUUUAUAUAUACCAAUAAAAUGCUUUUGAAAAAUG
rnacentral:lncRNA from 1 species